rnacentral:tRNA from 6 species
CGGUGAAUAGCGCAGCCUGGUAGCGCAUCUGCUUUGGGAGCAGAGGGUCGAGAGUUCGAAUCUCUCUUCACCGACCA